AUUGAACGCUGGCGGCAGGCCUAACACAUGCAAGUCGAGCGGAUGAGAGGAGCUUGCUUCUCGAUUCAGCGGCGGACGGGUGAGUAAUGCCUAGGAAUCUGCCUGGUAGUGGGGGACAACGUUUCGAAAGGAACGCUAAUACCGCAUACGUCCUACGGGAGAAAGCAGGGGACCUUCGGGCCUUGCGCUAUCAGAUGAGCCUAGGUCGGAUUAGCUAGUUGGUGAGGUAAUGGCUCACCAAGGCGACGAUCCAUAACUGGUCUGAGAGGAUGCUCAGUCACACUGGAACGGAGACACGGUCCAGACUCCUACGGGAGGCAGCAGUGGGGAAUAUUGGACAAUGGGCGAAAGCCUGAUCCAGCCAUGCCGCGUGUGUGAAGAAGGUCUUCGGAUUGUAAAGCGCUUUAAGUUGGGAGGAAGGGUUGUAGAUUAAUACUCUGCAAUUUUGACGUUACCGACAGAAUAAGCACCGGCUAACUCUGUGCCAGCCGCCGCCGUAAUAC
rnacentral:rRNA from 1 species